ACCUCAGUAGCCCAACUGGAAGAGGCACAUGACUUAGGAUCAUGGUGAUGGGGGUUCGAAUCCCUCCUGGGGUA
rnacentral:tRNA from 1 species